rnacentral:tRNA from 1 species
GAGGGUAGAGCUCAGUGGUAGAGUGUGUGCUUAGAACGCAUGAGUUCCUGGGUUCAAUCCCCAGUACCUUCA